CCUACGGGAGGCAGCAGUGGGGAAUAUUGGGCAAUGGAGGCAACUCUGACCCAGCAACGCCGCGUGAGUGAUGAAGGUCUUCGGAUUGUAAAACUCUUUAAGUGGGGACGAAGAAAGUGACUGUACCCACAGAAUAAGCCUCGGCUAACUACGUGCCAGCAGCCGCGGUAAUACGUAGGAGGCAAGCGUUAUCCGGAAUGACUGGGCGUAAAGGGUGCGUAGGUGGUUUGGCAAGUUAGUAGCGUAAUUCCGGGGCUCAACUUCGGAACUACUACUAAAACUGCUGGGCUUGAGUGCAGGAGGGGCAUAUGGAAUUCCUAGUGUAGCGGUGGAAUGCGUAGAUAUUAGGAGGAACACCAGUGGCGAAGGCGAUAUGCUGGACUGUAACUGACACUGAGGCACGAAAGCGUGGGGAGCAAACAGGAUUAGAUACCCCAGU
rnacentral:rRNA from 1 species